GAUCCUGGCUCAGGAUGAACGCUAGCGACAGGCCUAACACAUGCAAGUCGAGGGGCAACAUGGUAUCAGCUUGCUGGUACCGAUGGCGACCGGCGCACGGGUGAGUAACGCGUAUGUAAUCUACCUGUAACAGAGGGAUAACCCGGAGAAAUCCGGACUAAUACCUCAUAGCACAUAUUAUUCGCAUGAAUUUUAUGUUAAAGAGACUCGGUUACAGAUGAACAUGCGUUCCA
rnacentral:rRNA from 1 species